GAUGAACGCUGGCGGCGUGCCUAAUACAUGCAAGUCGAGCGAACGGACGAGAAGCUUGCUUUUCUGAUGUUAGCGGCGGACGGGUGAGUAACACGUGGAUAACCUACCUAUAAGACUGGGAUCACUUCGGGAAACCGGAGCUAAUACCGGAUAAUAUUUUGAACCGCAUGGUUCAAAAGUGAAAGUCGGCCUUGCUGUCACUUAUAGAUGGAUCCGCGCUGCAUUAGCUAGUUGGUAAGGUAACGGCUUACCAAGGCAACGGUGCGUAGCCGACCUGAGAGGGUGAUCGGCCACACUGGAACUGAGACACGGUCCAGACUCCUACGGGAGGCAGCAGUAGGGAAUCUUCCGCAAUGGGCGAAAGCCUGACGGAGCAACGCCGCGUGAGUGAUGAAGGUCUUCGGAUCGUAAAACGCUGUUAUUCGGGAAGAACAUAUGUGUAAGUAACUGGGCACAUCUUGACGGUACCUAAGCAGAAAGCCACGGCUAACUACGUG
rnacentral:rRNA from 1 species